rnacentral:rRNA from 1 species
GUGACGAAGCGACGCCGCGUGCGGGAAGAAGGCCUUCGGGUUGUAAACCGCUGUCGGGAGUUAGGAAGUGCAAGAAUGUUAAUAGCGUUCUUGCUUGACUAAGGCUCCGGAGGAAGCCACGGCUAACUCUGUGCCAGCAGCCGCGGUAAUACAGAGGCGGCAAGCGUUGUUCGGAAUUAUUGGGCGUAAAGAGCACGUAGGCGGCUGUGUAAGUCGGUUGUGAAAGCCUUCCGCUUAACGGAAGAACGGCAUCCGAUACUGCAUAGCUUGAGUGCGGGAGGGGAGAGUGGAACUUCUGGUGGAGCGGUGAAAUGCGUAGAUAUCAGAAGGAACACCGGCGGCGAAGGCGACUCUCUGGUCCGUAACUGACGCUGAGUGUGCGAAAGCUAGGGGAGCAAACGGGAUUAGAUACCCCGGUAGUCCUAGCCGUAAACGAU